rnacentral:rRNA from 1 species
UACGAAGGGGGCUAGCGUUGCUCGGAAUCACUGGGCGUAAAGCGCACGUAGGCGGAUCUUUAAGUCAGGGGUGAAAUCCUGGAGCUCAACUCCAGAACUGCCUUUGAUACUGGGGAUCUCGAGUCCGGAAGAGGUGAGUGGAACUCCGAGUGUAGAGGUGAAAUUCGUAGAUAUUCGGAAGAACACCAGUGGCGAAGGCGGCUCACUGGCCCGGUACUGACGCUGAGGCGCGAAAGCGUGGGGAGCAAACAGG